rnacentral:tRNA from 1 species
AGCAGCAUGGCGCAGUGGUAGCGCGCGGGGCCCAUAACCCCGAGAUCACUUGAUCGAAACAAGUUGCUGCUA